rnacentral:pre_miRNA from 1 species
AGCUUUCUAAAUCCGUGCUGGGAUUUCUUCAGACACCAACACAUUAAAGCUGAUUGUACUUUCAAGAUUAGUGAAGUU